rnacentral:siRNA from 1 species
AAGCCUCGCUUAGUGUACGUACA